GAUGAACGCUGGCGGCGUGCCUAAUACAUGCAAGUCGAGCGAACAGACGAGGAGCUUGCUCCUCUGACGUUAGCGGCGGACGGGUGAGUAACACGUGGAUAACCUACCUAUAAGACUGGGAUAACUUCGGGAAACCGGAGCUAAUACCGGAUAAUAUAUUGAACCGCAUGGUUCAAUAGUGAAAGACGGUUUUGCUGUCACUUAUAGAUGGAUCCGCGCCGCAUUAGCUAGUUGGUAAGGUAACGGCUUACCAAGGCAACGAUGCGUAGCCGACCUGAGAGGGUGAUCGGCGACACUGGAACUGAGACACGGUCCAGACUCCUACGGGAGGCAGCAGUAGGGAAUCUUCCGCAAAGGGCGAAAGCUUGACGGAGCAACGCCGCGUGAGUGAUGAAGGUCUUCGGAUCGUAAAACUCUGUUAUUAGGGAAGAACAAAUGUGUAAGUAACUAUGCACGUCUUGACGGUACCUAAUCAGAAAGCCACGGCUAACUACGUG
rnacentral:rRNA from 1 species